ACAAAGCAGACUUCAUAAAGAAUCAGCCUGAGUCUCCGGGCAUACUCUAACCAGGGUGAGGAGAAAGUUUCUAGUUGUGUUCAGGAGAAGUUGUCUUCCUUUUUAGAGGCUUGCAUUAUGUGAGACAACUCAGAACAAUACCAUCUACCCAGUGGAUCAAGAGACCUUGAAUCAAGAGACACCAAGUUCAGCCACUGAAAGUCUGGACAGGUCCAGAGAAUGUCAGCCCAUCAACUAGAAGGAAACUUACCUGAGAUAGCCAGAGG